rnacentral:rRNA from 1 species
UACGUAGGUGACUAGCGUUGUCCGGAUUUACCGGGCGUAAAGAGCGCGCAGGCGGUCGUUCAAGUCGAGUGUGAAAGCCCCCGGCUCAACUGGGGAGGGUCAUUCGAUACUGAUCGACUCGAAGGCAGGAGAGGGAAGCGGAAUUCCCGGUGUAGUGGUGAAAUGCGUAGAUAUCGGGAGGAACACCAGUGGCGAAGGCGGCUUCCUGGCCUGUUCUUGACGCUGAGGCGCGAAAGCUAGGGGAGCAAACGGG